UUGACCUCAGUUCAGACAAGGCU
rnacentral:rRNA from 3 species